GGGCGCAAAAGUCCCCGCCGGCAUCCCCUCUCCUCGCCCUCCCCUCACAAUUGGCAGUAACAAGGGGAAUGAGGGUUGGCGACACAUAAAUGGCGCCACAGUUCUCUUCGGAGGCCAGUAGUCAGGAGCGAGAGCAAGCGUGGACACAGGACCUACAGAAGGAAGAAAAUAAGAAGGAAAGGGAGGUGGAGGAGGAGGAGGGGCAAAGAAGAGAGAGAAAAAAAUGCAAGAACGGAAAGGUUGGUUAAGUCAUUACCAACAGAAGGCAGUUGAGAAGACGAUUUUUAAACUUCGUAAUUCUUUUGGUGGCGUUCGCGUCCGGAUAUCCGAAGAGGAUCCGAUUUCAAGAGCGGAUGACUUGAUCCAAUGAGACUCAACAUCAGCGGCGUUAACUAUCAUGCGGAUGCAACAAGUCUUCGUCACUUGAGGCAUAUCUAUUCACCCUCCCUGACGCACGGAAGACUAAGCGCGUACUAGUUCACGAAGUAUGUAUUCGCGUGGAAAAGAAACAACCAGAAGAAGGCGAAUAAGAAGGACCGGUUUCCGAAGAUGGGAGAAAGAGCAUUGGACUUCGAUGGAGUGGCUGUCCCGCCUGCCUUUUGCGCUUCAGGGAGAAUAGGAAGUGAUACGCCCAAGAAUGUCGCCGAAGGAAUCUAUUACAACAACUGAACUUGAACGAUUUUCCAGUUCUGUUUUCUGAGAAUGAUUUGAGGGAGUCAUAUGCAUAUCAUUUCUAAUAUUUUUUGUUUAGUUUUUUUUUCAUGAAAAGGAAUUUCUUUAUAAUGUGUUUUCUUUUUGUUGUGUUUUAUUUAUGAUUUUUCAUUUUUAGUUUUAAUUUAAUUUUUGUUUUGGUUUCUAUAUUAUUGAUGUAAUUAUCUUUCUCAAGCUAUCUUUAUUUCUCUUUUUUUUCAUUUCAAUCUUACACUUUAUUAGGUAUGAUAACUAGAACUUGUUUUACAUGUUCAUCCUUUUUGAUGUAACAUCUGUAUUUGCCAUCCAUAAUCUUCUGAAAAUAUCUAACAUUGCAAUAGAGAAUAUAGUAAUAAUUUUUUUUUUAUGCAAAACAUUCUCAUGUUUUAUGAUUUUACUCCAAUAAUGGAUAACAAAGGCUUUAUUUUCGCAGAGUAAAUGUUGAGAUAUUUCAAAUAACUGACUGUAAUUUUAUCUUCCAUGUCAUCUAAAUUAUGUAACUUUACUUCAGUUUACUCACAACUUGCUUUGUACAACUUAUAUGUAGGUGAUUCAUUUCACUUGGAUUGCAUAUCUAUUUUUCGGUUUUAUGAUCUUUCUGUGUAUAUUUACUGUUUUCUGUCCAUUUUAUUCUUUGUCCAUAUGUGUACAUAUGACAUUUUUCAUUAUCCUUUUUUUGUUGUUCUGCCUAUGUUUUGCUCUCAAUAUUAUACUUUUUAUCUUGUUAGAUAUGUAGUGCUUGAUCUAUAUGAAUUAUAUUUUAUAGAAUAACCAAUUCUUAGAUAAUACUUUACUUGUUCUAAAGUUGAUAGUACUUGUUUGAAUCACAACAUAUCUGUUAUUAAUUGUUAUUAACAUAAAAUACAGUCAGGUGAGGUGUA
rnacentral:lncRNA from 1 species